CAUUCCGUGCGUCUAUUUUGUGUCUUUAUUAUUUUGUUCGAGGACAAACAAAAAUGUAAGUUUGGGAGAGUUGAUACGCUUGGAUUUUGCAUUGUUUUAAGGCCUUUAUUUGGUUCGUUUUUAAUGUCAAAAUCACAAUUCAUGUCCAUAUUUUGUAUAUUUUAUCUAUUUUGGUAUUUUGACGUGUUUUGUGAGAAAUGUGCAUAUUAAAGCCUAAAAAGACAGCAAAAAGUCGAAGUUGGAAAUCUGGAACUUUCGAGACGUCCAGCAGUCCGCUUCAACACAUAUAGCGGUCGUUGGAGCCCAACAACCGUUGAGCCAGUAGCGGUCCGCUCCGGGAAAGUUGUGCAUGGAACGAAGAACACGACCAGCGACUGCUGGGGAGUGCGCAACGACCGCUCCAAAUAAUCCAGAAGCUACGGGACAAUUUCCAACGACCACUGGGAAGAAGUGUAGCGACCGCUCUUCGAGAGGCAGAGGCUACAGAUCAACAUGCAGCGACCGCUGGCCAAGGUGCAGCGGCCUGCCGGGAAAACGCGGCCCACGAUUUUGACCUACUUCUCCCCAAGAUUUAUCAAACUUAACCACUUUUUGCCCUAUUUGAUAGAGCUCGAAUUUUCCUCUACAUAUAUCCCCUCAAACCUCUUCAUUAGGAUCUUCGUUUUGCCAUAUAAUUCCAGAGCAUAAAUUUGAGAGAGUUCUUCAUUGUGCAGGAGGUUGAAGAAUGAAUCAAGAGUAGAAGGUUGAUCUUUUGAAGAACAAACUGGGGUUUGAUGAUGCAUUCAACUACAAAGAAGAAUCUGACCAGAAUGAAGCCAUAAAGAGGAGGCAAAAUGCUCGAUGCGGUGAUUAUAAGUGAUUUCGCAGUACGACAUGAAGGAGCUAGACGCGACAAACAACUUGAUAUAAGUGAUUAUAAAUAAAAUCCGAAUGCAAGGAUUCGUCGUCUUCGACUACUUCCACCUCUACCCUAACUACUUGGAGAUGGUGUUGCCUCUGAUUAAACAAGGCAAAUUGGCAUAUGUUGAAGACAUUGUUGAAGGAAUCGAGGCUGCACCAGUUGCUUUGGUUGGACUCUUUGUGGGAAAGCAAGUUGUUCUUGUGGCUCGUGAUUGAUCAAUUUGGUCCUAUGGAUCUUGAU